rnacentral:rRNA from 1 species
GACGAACGCUGGCGGCGUGCCUAAUACAUGCAAGUUGAGCGCUGAAGGUUGGUACUUGUACCAACUGGAUGAGCAGCGAACGGGUGAGUAACGCGUGGGGAAUCUGCCUUUGAGCGGGGGACAACAUUUGGAAACGAAUGCUAAUACCGCAUAAAAACUUUAAACACAAGUUUUAAGCUUGAAAGAUGCAAUUGCAUCACUCAAAGAUGAUCCCGCGUUGUAUUAGCUAGUUGGUGAGGUAAAGGCUCACCAAGGCGAUGAUACAUAGCCGACCUGAGAGGGAGAUACGCCACAUUGGGACUGAGACACGGCCCAAACUCCUACGGGAGGCAGCAGUAGGGAAUCUUAGGCAAUGGACGAAAGUCUGACCGAGCAACGCCGCGGGAGUGAAGAAGGUUUUCGGAUCGUAAAACUCUGUUGGUAGAGAAGAACGUUGGUGAGAGUGGAAAGCUCAUCAAGUGACGGUAACUACGCAGAAAGGGACGGCUAACUACGUG